rnacentral:rRNA from 1 species
CUCGUAGGCGGCUCCGUAAGUCAGGGGUGAAAUCCAGUGGCUCAACCAUUGACACGCCUCUGAAACUACGGACCUUGAGUCCGGGAGAGGAAAGCGGAAUUCCAGGAGUAGCGGUGAAAUGCGUAGAUAUCUGGAAGAACACCAGUGGCGAAGGCGGCUUUCUGGCCCGGUACUGACGCUGAGGAGCGAAAGCCAGGGGAGCGAACG